GGUGGGGUACCGAAGCGGCCAACCGGGGCAGACUGUAAAUCUGCUGGCAUACGCCUACGUAGGUUCGAAUCCUACCCCCACCA
rnacentral:tRNA from 1 species